rnacentral:lncRNA from 10 species
ACUGAAGACUCUUGAGUCAGAAUCCCCAGCUUCAAAUCCUAGCAUCUCCACUCAUGUCCAUGUGACCAUGGGCAAUCUCCUCCACACCUUCAAGCGUCUGCAUGAUGUGGGUGAAAGAGAAAACACAGCUUGGUGAUAACUAUGCAAAGAUAUGAGGCAGAAGGAUAUAAAAAAAACUUGGAGAAUAUGCCAGUAUCCAGAAUUCGCUUAAUUUUUAUUCCAGCACAAAAAACAGAAGACUGGGAAUUUUUGUUGGAGGGUAAUGGGGAAGUGAAAAUUCUGC